rnacentral:rRNA from 1 species
UCAUAGUGAUCCGGUGGUUCUGAAUGGAAGGGCCAUCGCUCAACGGAUAAAAGGUACUCCGGGGAUAACAGGCUGAUACCGCCCAAGAGUUCAUAUCGACGGCGGUGUUUGGCACCUCGAUGUCGGCUCAUCACAUCCUGGGGCUGAAGUAGGUCCCAAGGGUAUGGCUGUUCGCCAUUUAAAGUGGUACGCGAGCUGGGUUUAGAACGUCGUGAGACAGUUCGGUCCCUAUCUGCCGUGGGCGCUGGAGAACUGAGGGGGGCUGCUCCUAGUACGAGAGGACCGGAGUGGACGCAUCACUGGUGUUCGGGUUGUCAUGCCAAUGGCACUGCCCGGUAGCUAAAUGCGGAAGAGAUAAGUGCUGAAAGCAUCUAAGCACGAAACUUGCCCCGAGAUGAGUUCUCCCUGAGACUUUAAGUCUCCUGAAGGAACGUUGAAGACGACGACGUUGAUAGGCCGGGUGUGUAAGCGCAGCGAUGCGUUGAGCUAACCGGUACUAAUGAACCGUGAGGCUUAACCUUACAACGCCGAAGGUGUUU